rnacentral:rRNA from 1 species
GACGAACGCUGGCGGCGUGCCUAAUACAUGCAAGUAGAACGCACAGUUUAUACCGUAGCUUGCUACACCAUAGACUGUGAGUUGCGAACGGGUGAGUAACGCGUAGGUAACCUGCCUGGUAGCGGGGGAUAACUAUUGGAAACGAUAGCUAAUACCGCAUAAUAUUAAUUAUUGCAUGAUAAUUGAUUGAAAGAUGCAACUGCAUCACUACCAGAUGGACCUGCGUUGUAUUAGCUAGUAGGUGAGGUAACGGCUCACCUAGGCGACGAUACAUAGCCGACCUGAGAGGGUGAUCGGCAACACUGGGACUGAGACACGGCCCAGACUCCUACGGGAGGCAGCAGUAGGGAAUCUUCGGCAAUGGACGAAAGUCUGACCGAGCAACGCCGCGUGAGUGAAGAAGGUUUUCGGAUCGUAAAGCUCUGUUGUAAGAGAAGAACGGGUGUGAGAGUGGAAAGUUCACACUGUGACGGUAUCUUACCAGAAAGGGACGGCUAACUACGUG